CCAUUGGCAUCUGCGAUAAGCUGUCCUCACUUUAUUCAUAUGCUACUCAACCAGACGGAACUUACAUUCCCUCAGCUCUACAUUCAAGACAAUAUCACCCUCGCGCAGACAGACUUAGUCAAGAUUGCUCUAUCCAAUAUGUCUGCAACCCUCAGUCAAUAUGUUACUGUGUUGAAGAAUCAGACG